GUCAGCACAGAGCCCAACGCAGGGCUCGAUCCCACAAACCAUGAGAUCGUGACCUGAGCCGAGAUCAAGAGUCAGAUGCUACCCAACUGAGCCAUCCCGGUGCCCCACCCCCCAGGAAUAGUAUUUUUUACAGAAGAUGCCCCAAUUUGUGUUGUUGAUAACUAACACCGAGCAGAAAGAGCCAUUUCGGAGGAAGAGUUUUCGAAACUGGAAGACUGUGUAUGCCGUGAAAAUUAAUGUUAAUAAAGUCAGAUAUGUUGCUAGAUAUUUGUAUCCAGAAAAAUGGAUUUAUCACUGAGUUAACUUAAAAAAUUUUUGCCUCGUCCAAAAAUUACUUUUAAUUCUAACCACCGAAUGAUAAAGCAUAGUUCCUAGAAUGGAUGCAUUCUUCCAACAGCUGGUUUACUCGGAUUAUUCAGGAUUUUUGCUGGAAUCCAAGUGGUCUUGCAAGAGAACCGAUGAUUUUCUGAUGAAGCUGUUCACACGCUUUUGAAGCCAGGAGAAGGGUUCUAUAGACAACAAGACUGUAUGAAGGUAUGAAAUUGUCUUGGUAAGACGAAGUAAAAUUGGGCCACCACACAAGCAAACAUGGACAUCACCUGUAUCUGGAGUCUCAAAGUCAUGAAAUACGCAGUGUUUGAAAGGUUACGAGAAAUACAUUGAUUUGAUUGGAUCUUUUUCUUUUUGGCCAUCCUUCGUGUUACAAAACAGUUGAAGCUUAGUAUCAUUUCAAGCACGGAGUGUAAAGUGAUCGGUGAGGCUGGAUGGAGGAAAGGCAAGAGAAAUGAAUUUGAAGGACAAAAAAACAAAAAAACAAAAACCACAUAUCCUUCGAAGACCUCCCUGUCUCGAGGACAGAAAAUGCCUUGGCAGUCGCGAUUUUUGUGCAGUCAGAAGGGAGCUGAUUUCCCAGCUGUUCUGGUGUAUUUUCCUUAUUAGUCUUUGCUCCCACGGUCUAAAAGCAAAUACCGGAUCUAAGCGCCUACAGUACUGGUCAAGGACUGCAGCUUCCCUCGUGUGUGACUCACAGGCGCGAGCAAACCACCUACUGUAACAGCUGGCCCCAGACCCUGGCCCGGCCACAGCGCAGCAGCUGCUUUGCUGGACCCCUGCUUGCUUGGCUAUUAACUGUCUUAACUGUUGCUCUUACCUUUAUGGGCUGUGGUAAAGGCAGGCUUUAUUUAUUUAUGUUUGUUUGUUUUUGAGAGAGAGAGAGCGCGCGCGCGCACGCGAACAAGUGAGGGAGGGACAGAGAGAGAGGGAGACACAGAGUCCAAAGCAGGCUCCAGACUCCGAGCUGUCAGCACAGAGCCCGACGUGGGGCUCGAAGUCACAAACCGUGAGAUCAUGACCUGAGCCAAAGUCGGACGCUUAACCAACUGAGCCACCCAGGUGUGCCAAAGGUGGGCUUUAGGUGCAUAGACCCUUGGGUCCAUUUUUCCCCAAUUGUAUUUCUCGGUUCUUACUAAAAGAUUUCAGCGGUCACCUGGAAGCGUAAUUUCGAUUUAGGAUGCUAGAAGGCCGGUCAUCAUUCACAACGGCCCUUCAUGUGCUUUUCUGCAUGCAUGAUUACUUUCUUGAUGAACAAAGGUUAUGCUUAGUUUCAGGCUUGGUUAUUAUUUGUUACUAUUACGAUCAGUAUGAGGUGAACCACCUUUAUAAGAACUUGUUUCCUUUUUUUUAAUGUUUAUUUUUGAGAGAGAGACAGAGGGCAGGCGGGGAGGGGCAGAGAGAGAAGGAGACACAGAAUCCGAAAGAGGUACCACGCUCCGAGCUGUCAGUGCAGAUCCUGACGGGGGGCUGGAACUCACAAACUGUGAGAACGUGACCUGGGCCGAAGUCGGACGCUUAACUGACUGAGCCACCCAGGCGCCCCUAUAAGAACUAGUUUCUUAAAACGGGAUGGCAUCUUGCUGCGUUUCUUUGACUCUCCGCCAUACCUCUCCUCUGCCCAGAGGACCAUUCUCGAGGCUUCACUAGAGAAAGGGAGAGCACAGCACCUGGCCUCAGAAAGCCUCCAAACCGGUUGUGGCUACAGAUUAACAUGUGAGAAUCAAAGAUUCCCAAAGGAAGGCAAAUCAGAUGCAGUUUCAGAGAAAGGAGAGAUUUUUUUUUGCGGGGCAGGUCAGUCUGUGCCCCAUUGCUUGUGUCUUGCAGCCUUGUGUUUUACUGGGUAUUAGUAUUGUUUCGCAAAAGUUGUUCUGGAGUCACACGCCAUGCUAUUUUCAUCUUUCGAUCUCCCUAUUCUAGUACAUUCCGGCCCCUGCACGGGACACGACACUUUACACAUAACACGUGCCAGGUAAACAUUUGCUGACAUAAUUGGAUGGGAGAAGGCUUUGUGGAAAAGGCAGAGCUUGGGCCCAGCUUUAGAUAGAGAGGGGAGGUUGGCCAGUGACAUACUCUGCCUGUAUAUGAGUCAUUCGUUCUGGGCCUUGAGGAAGAACUGGCAAAGUCAAAACAGAGCGGAGACACAUGCCAGGUCGAAAGAAUAACUACGGCAGAGCAGAGGGUUAGUGUAUGAAAUACGGGGUCAAGGAGGAGGCCUGGCAAGACGUUGUUCUGGAGAAUACCUGGGACGGUAGGGUAGCCAGAUACAACAGCAGGGCCCCUCGGACGUGCUGUGGGUGGAUGGACACCAAAGUAAUAGUCUUUCUCUCCCUGUCUCAUGCUGAGGACACACUUUUCCUUUGUACCUUAGCGCAUUUAUUGUAGUCUUCGGGGGUGGGCGGGACCUGUCAACGUGAUGUCAUACUUCCCUUCUUUACAUGCGGAUGUUUUAUUUGUUAAUCAGUUUGUUCUGGAGUUGGUUUGUUUUCAGGAAAGAGGUGGAACGCAUUUUGAAACACCACUUGAAAAUUGGGUUGAGAACAUUAAAGUUUCUUUUUUUCUUCUU